ensembl:lncRNA LINC01195 long intergenic non-protein coding RNA 1195
ACAUCAGUUGCAAGAGGAAAGACAUUCGGAAAUUUUGCCUUUUCUUUUUGUUCCUGGUUUGGCAGAGAGAGAAUACACGAAAAUCGAUUCAGAGUGGGAACAAUGCAACUUACACUUUCUGUUGCAUGAAGUGGUCACGUGACUCAAUCUGCUUAAAAAAAAAAACACAGACUGCUAUAUUCUAAAGAACACCAAACAGAGCACCGAUGGAUUUUGCCUUGUAAUUACCUGUAUGAGUGAAAUCAUGUUCAAAGACUGUCUCUCCUGAUAGAACGUGAAGGUCAGGACACGCUUGUAAUCCCAGUGCCAAGAACGGAGCCUGGCACAAAGCAGGUUCCGGAACCAGUUACCAAUCAAAGGAAGAUACCAAAUAUCUCCAGCCUUUGUCUUGGAAGCAGACAAUGGCCCUUCACCAGUAAGACCAAGAGAAUAAGAAAAAAUAAUACAAGUU